rnacentral:rRNA from 1 species
UACGGAGGAUGCAAGCGUUAUCCGGAAUGAUUGGGCGGAAAGCGUCCGCAGGUGGCUAUGUAAGUCUGCUGUUAAAGAGUGAGGCUCAACCUCAUAAGAGCAGUGGAAACUACAUGGCUAGAGUGCGUUCGGGGCAGAGGGAAUUCCUGGUGUAGCGGUGAAAUGCGUAGAGAUCAGGAAGAACACCGGUGGCGAAAGCGCUCUGCUAGGCCGCAACUGACACUGAGGGACGAAAGCUAGGGGAGCGAAUGGG